GGUGAGAGACUUAGAAUCAUUCUAGGAUUUCUAGGUGAGAAAAAAUCAAAGAGAAGAGAGUCUUAUCUAAUUUUUCUUCACUAUCUAGCAUCCUCCUUUGAUCUAUCUUUAACAUCGAAAAGAUCUGAGAUGAUCGACGAAGGAGAUCAAAUCAGACUCGUCAUAAGAAGCUGACUGUGCGAGCUAGCACUCUCGUGGAGGGCUGAUCGGUCCGAGAGCUUCGUGUAGAUCAUUCAUAGAGGUUGGAUGCUUAUGCAGCUAUG
rnacentral:lncRNA from 1 species